AAGGUCCGACAAACAAAGUCCGACAAGCAAAAUGGUGAAGCGAUGUGCCUAUGGCGUAUGUAAAUCGGACAGUAGGUACCCCAAGAGUUUGGCUGGGGGAGUCGUGUUCUUUCCUUUUCCAAAGCCGAAAACACAACAGGAGCGGUGCCUACGAUGGAUCAAACAGUGUGGAAGGCCCCACUCCCAGCUAAAUGUCACGAAAAUAAACAAGCAUGCAUACGUCUGCUCCAAGCAUUUUGUGAAUGGACAGCCUACCCCUGAGUAUCCCGACCCUGUACUUGCUGUACAAGUGUCGAACCAGACUAGGGAGCAGCUCGGAGGCUGUCGAAAGCCACCCCAAAAACGAUGCAGAUUAAGUGUGCAGGAUGCCUCUGGCUCCACCUCCAGUACUGAUGAUGCAGACGAG